rfam:Absidia glauca strain CBS 101.48 genome assembly, contig: contig_1967
GGUGAGAUGGCCGAGUGGUCUAAGGCGCUAGAUUUAGGCUCUAGUAUCAUCGAUGCGUGGGUUCGAAUCCCACUCUCAUCA